CGGGGUGCAGCAGGCGCGAAACCUUUACAAUGCGGGCAACCGUGAUAAGGGAACCUCGAGUGCCUGUAAAUGCAGGCUGUUUAGGUGUCUAAAGUGCACCUGGAGAGAGGGUCGGGCAAGACCGGUGCCAGCCGCCGCGGUAAUACCGGCGACUCGAGUGGUGACCACUGUUAUUGGGCUUAGAGCGUUCGUAGCUGGGUUGUUAAGUCUCUUGGGAAAUCUGGCGGCUUAACCGUCAGGCGUCUAAGGGAUACUGGCAAUCUUGGAACCGGGAGAGGUGAGGGGUACUUCGGGGGUAGGAGUGAAAUCCUGUAAUCCUCGAGGGACCACCUGUGGCGAAGGCGCCUCACCAGAACGGCUUCGACAGUGAGGGACGAAAAGCUGGGGGAGCAAACCGGAUUAGAUACCCGGGUAGUCCCAGCUGUAAACUAUGCGCGUUAGGUGUAUCGGUGACCACGAGUUACCGAGGUGCCGAAGGGAAACCGUGAAACGUGCCGCCUGGGAAGUACGGUCGCAAGGCUGAAACUUAAAGGAAUUGGCGGGGGAGCACCACAACGGGUGGGGCCUGCGGUUUAAUUGGACUCAACGCCGGGAAGCUCACCGGAUAAGACAGCGGAAUGAUUGCCGGGCUGAAGACUCUGCAUGACUAGCUGAGAGGAGGUGCAUGGCCGUCGUCAGUUCGUACUGUGAAGCAUCCUGUUAAGUCAGGCAACGAGCAAGACCCACGCCAACUGUUGCCAGCAUAGUCUUAGGACUGAUGGGGAACACUGUUGGGACCGCCUCUGCUAAAGAGGAGGAAGGAAUGGGCAACGGUAGGUCAGCAUGCCCCGAAUUAUCCGGGCUACACGCGGGCUACAAUGGGCAGGACAAUGGGUAUCAACACCGAGAGGUGAAGGCAAUCUCCUAAACCUGUCCUUAGUUCGGAUUGUGGCUGCAACUCGCCCACAUGAAGCUGGAAUCCGUAGUAAUCGCGUUUCAAAAUAGCGCGGUGAAUAUGUCCCUGCUCCUUGCACACACCGCCCGUCAAACCACCCGAGUGGGGUUUGGAUGAGGCUGCGGUUGUUGCCGCGGUCGAAUCUAGGUUCCGCAAGGGGGGUUAAGUCGUAACAAGGUAGCCGU
rnacentral:rRNA from 1 species